UACGGAGGAUGCAAGCGUUAUCCGGAUUUAUUGGGCGUAAAGCGUCCGUAGGUGGUUCAUCAAGUCUGCUGUCAAAGCGCGAGGCUUAACUUCGUACAGGCAGUGGAAACUGGUGGACUUGAGAGUGAUAGGGGCAGAAGGAAUUCCCAGUGUAGCGGUGAAAUGCGUAGAGAUUGGGAAGAACACCGGUGGCGAAAGCGCUCUGCUGGGUCAUAUCUGACACUGAGGGACGAAAGCUAGGGGAGCGAAAGGG
rnacentral:rRNA from 1 species